ACGGGAGGCAGCAGUGGGGAAUAUUGCACAAUGGGCGAAAGCCUGAUGCAGCAACGCCGCGUGAGGGAAGACGGUUUUCGGAUUGUAAACCUCUGUCUUUGGUGAAGAAUAAUGACAUUAGCCGAGGAGGAAGCCACGGCUAACUACGUGCCAGCAGCCGCGGUAAUACGUAGGUGGCAAGCGUUAUCCGGAAUUACUGGGUGUAAAGGGAGCGCAGGCGGGAAAGCAAGUCAGCGGUGAAAUGUAUGGGCUCAACCCAUGAACUGCCGUUGAAACUGUUUUUCUUGAGUGGAGUAGAGGCAAGCGGAAUUCCGAGUGUAGCGGUGAAAUGCGUAGAUAUUCGGAGGAACACCAGUGGCGAAGGCGGCUUGCUGGGCGACAACUGACGCUGAGGCGCGAAAGCGUGGGGAGCAAACAGGAUUAGAUACCCUGGUA
rnacentral:rRNA from 1 species